AACGAGGUUAACAACUGCGUCCCUCUGACGCCGCGGUCCUCCUUGUUCUUUGUCAGUGUCUAGGAAAACUGUUUUUUCUCCCCAGGCAGGCUUUUAUACGCAGCUCGAUGCGGAGCGCAGCAAAAGAUUGGCUGUGAUGUCAUAGCGCUGAUGGAUGACAAAACUGCCAGAUUACAUCCCCUCUCACAGAGACUGAAUUGCCGUCUGCAAUUUUUUUCAAAAGCAAACAACAGCUCCAAAGAAAAGAAGGACAACUGCUGAGAGAUCCCCUGUAAAAGUGAAAGACAAUUCCUACAGUGUCAGAUGUGGAUGCCCUAAUCAGCCUGAACUACAAACUUUCUUUCUGUACCAAAUAGAUACUUGCAAUUUUAGCAUACUGGAUUAUAUUGUGCUCAUCUCACUUCCAAACUUCGUAGGUCAACCAAUGUGAUUAUGCAUCUUGUGACAACACUAAUUUAUGUUGAAAUGCGUGAAGAUGUUGCCAAUGGUGACCUUUCACCUGCCCAUUGAACCUGAUUUCUUGGACUAAAGCUAUGUAAGCUUCGUAUAUUUCAGCAAACCGCUCAUGCAUUGACUCAGGGACAAGUCCAACCCUUAAGAGCUUCUAGUAUUGCUGCAAUCUUUAGGCAUAACUCUAUGUCAACAUAUCUGAAGCAAAUGAAGACCUUGUUGCCAUAACUCUAUAGAAGUGCAUGACUUGCUAAUGAGGGUGUGCUGGAGUGGGGAUCCCUAUUAAAGUUGGAGGACUGUAGCUCUGGAGGACUGGACUUGGUCACCCCAAAUUAAAUUAACAUUUUGAAACUACAGAGCGUUUCUACAAACUUGUAUUUCUGCAAAUAUUUGAAGUGUUUAUGCCUUUUGGGGAAUGCUUAGUGCUAUUAAAGUAAAGGGAAGCUGUAGUAAUCAUCACCCAUGUGAAGAUCCAUCACAUUUUGUGUUUCAGCUCUGUAAUGACUUUAUGAUAGUUUAGCAGCUUUUUAUGUAAAUUAACAAGCUCAUAACCAAACUGAUGCUAUGUUAGCUGACUUAGGUAAAGCUCUUAAUAUGACAGAACUAAAAUAAGAAACAAAUAUCCAACAUAAUUUGAACUGUAUUUGUAGCAUCACUGCACCUAUGAAACAGAACCGUGCCCUGUACCAUGAUAUUGUCUCAUGACAUUUAUAAGUGUAAGAGACCAUGUAUAAUUAUUAAGUGUGUCUCUUUAACUAUUUUUAAUUAAUGUUUGAAAAGACAAAUAAAUGGCUUUUUGUCAUGUGACUGAG